rnacentral:rRNA from 1 species
AUGUACCAUGUUGCUGAGAUCCAACUCUCGCUGAUGCACGGCAUCUUCUACAGGAAGAAUGAGUUGAUCCACAAUUGGUACGGGUAUUGCAUCCGUGUUGCCUUGCUGCCGGCCACUGUCACCGCAUUGCUGCUGUUCCGUCGAGUAGGUGACAAAGAUGGUUUCAGCAAAGUAGAUCUCGUUGUCACUUAUGUUUUGCUCUCUGGAGCCGUCGUCCUGGAGAUCACAUCAGUGCUGAGGGCCAUGUCCUCCACCUGGAGGUACCUGUGUUUCACCCGCAUCCGCAUUCUUCCUUGUUGUAUGCCUCCUAUUAGUCGUCCAUUGUUAUAUCUUCUUGAACUUGUAUUUCAAUCUGGGGAGCUCGUCAGACGGGCAAUACAGAAAGUAGGAAUACUUAAGAGGUACUGGUCAGGCUCCAUGGGGCAACACAACUUUAUUUACAUGUGCAGCCACUGUAAGGACAGCCGAGGCAGCAAAAUCGCGAGAUGGAUAGGAAGAGAGGACUGGUGGAACACACUGGUUUACACGUCCUUGUCUGUCCCCGUCUCGCUAGAUUUCAGCGAGCUGCUGAAGGAACAACUGCGGGCAAGUGUGGGCGUCGACAAAGAGAAUCGAGACCACAUCCAAAACUCAAGGGGCCGGGCGGCGCUGAAGAAGAGGGGGUUGCAUGAGGAGCUGGCCUGGAGUGUGGACUCUGAGCUGGAUGAGAGCAUCCUGGUUUGGCACAUCGCCACUGAUGUCUACCUCAGCUGGUACGAGGCGGAACAUAAACGCCUGCCACAUCCUGCAAAGGUAACCCAGGAGCUCUCCAAUUACAUGAUGUUUCUGCUCGCAGCACGUCCCUACAUGCUGCCUGACAAUGCUAGUCGCCAAAGGUAUAUUGAACUGUGCAACAAGGUGAUCUAUCAUCUCCAAUACAACUCGGCCGUGGAUUUGAUCAAGUUAAUGCAGGGGCAUGGAGAUGCUCUCAAUGCUGAACAAACUCAGCCUGCCGUUGUGGUGGAAAAUCUAGUAGUCGAUAUGCCUGCUGCUACAACCAAAGAGAGUAGUGUAACAUUUGACAGAGCAUGUCAGCUUGGCUCGAAGCUGAUUAGCAAAGGGCUGGAAACACCUGAUGCCAUGCUUGAUCUGAUCAGCCAAGUGUGGGUGGAGAUGCUCUGCUACACAGGACACCGGUGCAGGCCAGAUUCUCAUGCCAGACAGCUGAGCAGUGGCGGCGAGAUCACCACCGUCGUUGCCAUUUUGAUGGAAUUCUUGAAAUCUGAUUUUUCUGAAGUUCAACAAAGAAGAGCGGGAUGCUGA